CACACUUCUACAAUAAUUAUUAUUAAUUUUAUUAAUUUUGCACUCAAAUAAAAAACAUUGUUCAUGAGAUUUGGAGGGUUUUAAAAAUCUGAACGACCAUGUAACCAUCAUCUAAGCGUUGAGGAUGCAAUUAUGAACGUUUAUUAUGCUUUCACAUCUUUCAGACCUAUACAUUAAUGAUUAUGAAUUUUGUUUAUUUUGAACCCCCUUAAAAAUACUAUUCAUGAGAGUUUGUAUGGUUUUAAAAAUUCACACGAUCAUAUACCCAUCCUCAAAGCGUAGAGGAUGCGACUACGAGUGUUUGCAUAUUUUUUGCACAUGUAAAUUAAUUAUUAUAAU
rnacentral:lncRNA from 1 species